rnacentral:lncRNA from 1 species
AUGGGGAUGGGGGUGCGGGGUGCCCGGGUUCCUUGUGUGGUCNNNNNNNNNNCCCCCCCCCCCAGUGCUUGCCCCCCUCCAGCUGGGGCAGGGCACAGCCCCCGGCACAUCCUGCACUGGGUUCCUUGGGAGAGCCUCUCCCCGAGGAGGUUUCCCCCCGUUACCUUCCCCUCGUCCCCAGGGAUGUGCUGCCCUCACAGCCACCUCGUGCCCCAUGGCCGAGCCAGCCCCAUGGCACCGCCCUGCCCAAAACCCCAGGGAAAAGCCCCUGGCACUUGGAGACCCCAAUCCCCUCCGCCUGGGUGCUCUCCCCUGGGCUCCAAUCCCACCCAGAGCCAUCCUGCCAGGACGCAGCCCUGCUGUGAGCUGUGCCCAGCCUGCUCCCACCGUGCCAACUGCUCGGGAAGGGCCCAGGUUCGCCUCCCCCCUGCCAGGCUUUGGCUCAAUUUGAUAAUUAGCGGGGCGGACACGCGUCCAGCCCUUCCCCGGCUUGCUCACGCCUCUCCAGGCUGCUCAGCCCCGAGCCCUGGGCUCUGCUCGGGGUGUGGAGCUGGCUGCCAGCAUGAAUCAGCAGCACCCAGCCCCUGGAGCAGCCCCGCUGGGUUGGGGACCCGCAGGCACCCCAAACCUCUGCCACCGCUCCCCAAAGCAAUGCUGGGAGGAGGACACGGCCCCAUCCCGCAGCCCCCAUCUCCCCGCUGCCCCCUGUACCCUGCUCCCCCCACCCCAUCUCCCCUCUCCCAUCACCGGCCCCCUUUUUGGCUGCAGGCAGAGCCCGGCAACCCAUCCCUUGUGCCGUGGGGGCAGCGAUCCCUGCCUGGUGCUGGGACACCGGGAGGGCAGCGAUCAGCCCUUCACCCUCCAGCACACCGUCCACCCACUCCUCUACCUGAGCACCAGCUUUGCACGAGGACCCGACAUCGUGCUGGGGGGGAUCUCACACCCAAAUUCUCACAGGAGCAGCACCGGGGUGCUGGUGCCAUGGCGCUGGGUGCCCGCGUGCGCACAGCAGGAGGGUGCUGGGUCCUGCCUGCGGUGGAUGCAGCAUCCCCAGGGCUGCAGAGCCGGGCAGGAUGCAGCUCCCGGGGCUCCCAACGGGUUUGCAUGUGGUUGGACUCUGCUCUCGGUGCUCCCUCAGCUGUUUCGUGCCAGUUUGUCCUCGCCGUGAGCAGUUCCCACGCGGGUAUAGUGGUGGGGCUGGCAUCUGGUGCUGCACCCACUGAAAUAGCAACGCCCAGCCCCACGCUGCAACCAGGGCAGGGAAAUAACCUCCCCGCAGCACAGCACCGGAGCUGGGGCUGCUAA